rnacentral:rRNA from 1 species
GAAGAAGCGCAUACGGUGGAUGCCUUGGCAGUCAGAGGCGAUGAAAGACGUGGUAGCCUGCGAAAAGCUUCGGGGAGUCGGCAAACAGACUUUGAUCCGGAGAUGUCUGAAUGGGGGAACCCAGCCAUCAUAAGAUGGUUAUCUUGUACUGAAUACAUAGGUGCAAGAGGCGAACCAGGGGAACUGAAACAUCUAAGUACCCUGAGGAAAAGAAAUCAACCGAGAUUCCCUUAGUAGUGGCGAGCGAACGGGGACUAGCCCUUAAGUGGCUUUGAGAUUAGCGGAACGCUCUGGAAAGUGCGGCCAUAGUGGGUGAUAGCCCUGUACGCGAAAAUCUCUUAGUCAUGAAAUCGAGUAGGACGGGGCACGAGAAACCUUGUCUGAAUAUGGGGGGACCAUCCUCCAAGGCUAAAUACUACUG